ensembl:lncRNA
GUGUGUGUGUGUGAAGGUCUGUGAGUGUGGUGGUGUGUGUGAUGGUCCGUGAGUGAGGUGGUGUGUGUGUGUGUGUUACUGUCUGUGAGUGAGGUGGUGUGUGUGAUGGUCUGUGAGUGAGGUGGUGUGUGUGUGUGACGGUCUGUGAGUGAGGUGGUGUGUGUGUGAUGGUUUGUGAGUGAGUGGUGUGUGUGUGUGUGUGUGAGUGUGGUGGUGUGUGUGUGAGUGAGUGGUGGUGUGUGUGUGUGUGAGUGAGGUGGUGUGUGUGUGUGUGAGUGAGGUGGUGUGUGUGUGUGUGAGUGAGGUGGUGUGUGUGUGUGUGAGUGAGGUGGUGUGUGUGUGUGUGUGUGUGAGUGUGUGUGUGUGUGUGUGUGAGGUGGUGUGUGUGUGUGUGUGUGUGUGUGUGUGUGUGUGUGAGGUGGUGUGUGUGUGUUUAGAGAAAGAGGAGGACGGAGCUCAAGUCAACAUCACCGCUUUAUUGAUAGACACAGUAAAGCAUGUUAUAAUACAGUAGUAAGGCAUAUAUUUGGUGGAAUUUGAUAUGUUGUGGAACAAAUGAGUUAUUGAAAAAGAUGGACAAUACAACUCCAGGGUUAGAAAUGAAUGACACAGUGGAUUAAUGAAUCAUUAUCUUUGAUCAUGCUGCUAUAAACAUGGUGACAAAACGAAGCAAAAAGGUGUUGUCAUGAAACUGUAAUAAUCCUGAAGAAUACCUUCAAUUGUUUGGGUUUGAAAUAAACAUCAACUGUGAUCUCACACUGAUAACGCCCCCACACCAUGCAAUUCCAUAAAGGAGCACACAAAUAAAACUAAACAAAUGCAUUAGCACACAGAAGAUCAACUCUAGUCUGUCCAGGAUGGAUAACAGUAGUGCACCCUGGUCCAGUUUCCUUAAACAUGUCUGACAUUUAAUUUCUAUAUCUUAAUGAACCGCUGAGGACAGUACAGUGUAUGUAUCUGAACACAUUCAGAUUGGAGGGACUCAUUCCGUUUCAAAACAUAGAUGGGUUCUUUACGAUGGCAUCCAGCUACACUGAGGACACUACAGUGUAUGUAUCUGGAGGGACUCAUUCCAUUUCAAAACAUGGAUGGGUUCUUUAAGAUGGCAUCCAGCUACACUGAGGACACUACAGUGUAUGUAUCUGGAGGGACUCAUUCCAUUUCAAAACAUGGAUGGGUUCUUUACGAUGGCAUCCAGCUACACUGAGGACACUACAGUGUAUGUAUCUGGAGGGACUCAUUCCAUUUCAAAACAUGGAUGGGUUCUUUACGAUGGCAUCCAGC